UCCGCUGGCCAUUACAAUUUAAUACCCAUCCAAAUGUAUGCUAUAUUGUCAAUAGGAAAAAAUGAAAUAACAGUGGUUAAUAGCAUACAACUAGCAUCCGAUUUGGAUGAGUCGCAUUGCUAUUACAUUGUGGAACAAAAUCCAUGUUAGAAUUAAAGAACAAAACAAAAUACAAUAAAAACUGUCCAUCGCACUUGCAUCUGAAUCGGAUGCCUUUGUAUUGUUUUGUAACUUUUUUGUUUAUUGUUGCAGCUGCUGUUGUACCGUUAUUCAUUUUUGAUGCUUCUUUCUUUUUUGAAGCAAAAUUUUAUUCUGUGAAGUGUUUUUGAAAGUGCAAGUUGUGAAUUUUGAACAAAAGUUAAUAAAAUAAAUUAAUAAAAUAAGAAUGUAGUAAGUGUUGUGUGUUAAAUAAGUUACAUAAAAUGUCAGGAUUCAGUAGGAGUAAUUUAAGACGACUAAAGAAAGUGGAAGCAGACAAUUUAACAAGAAAUCCACAGUUGAGGACGGACUGUUUGGAAAACAAUGAUAUUCUACAAAAUGAGCAGAUUCCAUGCAUUCCAAAAUUGUAGAAGAUUUUGGAAAAUAUGUAAGAAUAUUAAAAACUCUCCGUUAGAAUCCAUUAAUAAUUUAAAUUCUUUCAGCUAUGAUGGUACCCAAAAUAAAAAGGCGUUUAAGGAAUAUAAAUUUUAAUCAUGGCCAUUUUCGAAGCUGUCAUAUGUGAAGGAUCCAAUGAACAGGAUUAGAAAUUGUUUCAAAUUCCCUAAGGCCAGACACUUCCGAACAAUGUCCUACAAUAAAAAACUGGAAAAAUAUAUUUUUUUCCUUUAGUUUAAGCUUUAUUUCUUCCCACGUCUUUUGAAUAAGCUUUAUGAAUUUCGUUUUUAUGCAUUAUUUCUAAUUAUAAUAAGAAUAUUUUAACACGUUUAUAAUACGAAUAUUUUAAUAAAAGACAGCUGAAAUUUAAGUUCCACAAUCUAAAAUGUUGAUGGAAUCGGACCCAUCCAACCUUCGCUUACAAUGUUGAUAGAUUUCGGACCCAUCCAACAUUCGCUUACGUUGUCGGUCGAUUUCGGACCCAUCCAACAUUCGCUUACAUUGUCGGUAGAUUUCGGACUCGUCUGACGGCCUAGGCCAUCUCUGUGUAAAUGUAAGUAGAAAUUGUAUACAGGCUUUGGAUGGGUCGCACCUACAUUGUCAUUGGUCUCAGAUGGAAGAUGUAUGUGCUAAAAAAUCCGCUGGGAAGAAGCUUGAUUUUUUUGGUAAUUUCUCAUAUCUCUUUUAUUGUAGUGACGAGAAAAAUGCUCUUUUUAAUUCCAACCCAUAUGCCAAUGUAGAUUAAAUCUUAAUUUCGACUUUAUAAACUAAUAAAAAUGGAAAACCACUUUAAAUGCCAAAAAUAA